rnacentral:misc_RNA from 1 species
UUGAAUCCUUAGGAUGUUGCUGGCCCUUUGGGCAUGUGCACUCCGCCUUUCAAUACACCUGUGAACUUAUUGUAGGUGGCAGUUCUGCCGCCUAUGUUUUUAACAAACUCUAAAUGUAUAUCGAAUGUCUAAAUAUGGCCUUGAUCGGUCAAUUAAUA